rnacentral:rRNA from 1 species
UACGGGGGGAGCAAGCGUUGUUCGGAUUUACUGGGCGUAAAGGGCGCGUAGGCGGCCAGCACAAGUCAGUUGUGAAAUCUCCGAGCUUAACUCGGAACGGUCAACUGAUACUGUGCGGCUAGAGUGCAGAAGGGGCAACUGGAAUUCUUGGUGUAGCGGUGAAAUGCGGUAGAUAUCAAGAGGAACACCUGCGGCGAAGGCGGGUUGCUGGGCUGACACUGACGCUGAGGCGCGAAAGCUAGGGGAGCGAACGGGG